rnacentral:rRNA from 1 species
AUUGAACGCUGGCGGCAUGCUUUACACAUGCAAGUCCAACGGCAGCGCGGGCUUCGGCCUGGCGGCGAGUGGCGAACGGGUGAGUAAUACAUCGGAACGUGCCCCGGAGUGGGGGAUAGCUCGGCGAAAGCCGGAUUAAUACCGCAUACGACCUGAGGGUGAAAGCGAGGGAUCUUCGGACCUCGCGCUAUUGGAGCGGCCGAUGGGGGAUUAGCGCGUUGGUGGGGUAAAGGCCUACCAAGGCGACUAUCUGUAGCUGGUCUGAGAGGACGACCAGCCACACUGGCACUGAGACACGGCCCAGACUCCUACGGGAGGCAGCAGUGGGGAAUGUUGGACAAUGGGCGAAAGCCUGAUCCAGCAGUGCCGCGUGUGUGAUGAAGGCCUUCGGGUUGUAAAGCACUUUUGGCGGGAACGAAAAGGACUGUGCCAAGACCACGGUUGGAUGACGGUACCCGCAGAAUAAGCACCGGCUAACUACGUG